rnacentral:lncRNA from 1 species
GAGGGCUGUGUGCGCAAGGAAGCAUGGGGUCCAGCCACCGCACACAGUCAGGCACACUGGCUGCAGCGGGGCUGGCAGCUCCCGGCACUGGCUCUUUGUGAGGCUACAGCUUGACCAGGUGUACUGCAAGCAGCUUCCACAGCUGGCACCGGGAAUGCGGUGACACCCGGAAACUUGGGCAGCCCGGAAACUUGGAGACUUCAGGAACCGCACAGCCCCAAAAAGGGUAUCACAGCCCUGGCUCAGGGAACUCGUAGGUCUGGGCUCUCUCAAGAAACUUCUAGGUCUGGACUGUCUCUGCAGCUGUUCUCUCCCCUUUUUUCCCUCCUUCUCAUCACCCGCAACAUGAAAACACAAUACUCUGAGGCCUUGGAAUAUGUUUCUUUUUAAAUGGCCCCACCAACCAGAAAAUCAGAUAUGGCAAAGAGGCACUGGCUCCUGAAUAUCUGUGCAAAUAAGCAGAAAGAAAAACAGAACAAACAAAACAUCGCUUACUACUAAUAAUAGGACAGCAUUAUUUCCACACAAGACUGAUGAAACACUGCAGUUACAAACUACUUUGUGUUUGUGUGUCUUGACUUUGUUGUUUGCUUUGUUUUUUUAAUCACCAUCUCCAUUCCGGGGGCCAUUUUUAUCAUAUAUCUCCAAGAAAUAUAUGGGUAUAAGCAUACAUAGAAACAGCAGGCAUCAAUUUCUAAAAACUCUGUGUCAACUUCACCUAAGUGAAGUUCUUUUCUUGCACUGAUGAGAAAAAUGUAAACAUCAAGUAUUAUGAAAAUAAUCUGUGGUAGAAAAGGAGACGACUAACAUGUUCUGAAUAAUUGAAGCACUGCCUUUCCUAAAUUUACUGACUAAAAAAUUGUGACAUUUUAG